UGGGCAGUACCUCAGUGGUAAUAGAGCUCCCCCUUCGUACGAGGGAAGAUCUGGGUUCGAUUCCCGGCUGCUUUC
rnacentral:tRNA from 1 species